rnacentral:rRNA from 1 species
GAUGAACGCUAGCUACAGGCUUAACACAUGCAAGUCGAGGGGAAACGAUAUUGGAAGCUUGCUUCUGAUAGGCGUCGACCGGCGCACGGGUGAGUAACGCGUAUCCAACCUGCCCAUCACUUGGGGAUAACCUUGUGAAAGUAAGACUAAUACCCAAUGACGUCUCUAGAAGACAUCUGAAAGAGAUUAAAGAUUUAUCGGUGAUGGAUGGGGAUGCGUCUGAUUAGCUUGUUGGCGGGGUAACGGCCCACCAAGGCGACGAUCAGUAGGGGUUCUGAGAGGAAGGUCCCCCACAUUGGAACUGAGACACGGUCCAAACUCCUACGGGAGGCAGCAGUGAGGAAUAUUGGUCAAUGGACGAGAGUCUGAACCAGCCAAGUAGCGUGCAGGAUGACGGCCCUAUGGGUUGUAAACUGCUUUUAUAAGGGAAUAAAGUGAGUCUCGUGAGACUUUUUGCAUGUACCUUAUGAAUAAGGACCGGCUAAUUCCGUGCCAGCAG